AACGUAGGGGACAAGCGUUAUCCGGAUUUACUGGGCGUAAAGCGCCCGUAGGCGGCCUGUCAAGUUGGAUGUGAAAGCUCCUGGCUUAACUGGGAGAGGUCAUUCAAAACUGACAGGCUAGAGGAUGGAAGAGGAGAGCGGAAUUCCCGGUGUAGUGGUGGAAUGCGUAGAGAUCGGGAGGAACACCAGUGGCGAAAGCGGCUCUCUGGUCCGUACCUGACGCUGAGGGGCGAAAGCGUGGGGAGCGAACGGGAUUAGAUACCCCGGUAGUCCACGCUGUAAACGAUGGAUACUAGGUGUAGGCGGUCAUUAACCCCGUCUGUGCCGCAGCCAACGCGUUAAGUAUCCCGCCUGGGGAGUACGGCCGCAAGGUUAAA
rnacentral:rRNA from 1 species